rnacentral:rRNA from 1 species
AGUUUGAUCAUGGCUCAAGAUUGAACGCUGGCGGGAUGCUUUACACAUGCAAGUCGAACGGCAGCACGGACUUCGGUCUGGUGGCGAGUGGCGAACGGGUGAGUAAUGUAUCGGAACGUGCUAGUAGCGGGGGAUAACUACGCGAAAGCGCUAAUACCGCAUACGCCCUUCGGAAAGCGGGGGACCUUCGGGCCUCGCACUAUUAGAAGCGGCCGAUAUCGGAUUAGCUAGUUGGUGGGGUAACGGCUCACCAAGGCGACGAUCCGUAGCUGGUUUGAGAGGACGACCAGCCACACUGGGACUGAGACACGGCCCAGACUCCUACGGGAGGCAGCAGUGGGGAAUUUUGGACAAUGGGGGAAACCUGAUCCAGCCAUCCCGCGUGUGCGAUGAAGGCCUUCGGGUUGUAAGCACUUUUGGCAGGAAAGAAACGGCACGGGAUAAUACCCCGUGCAACUGACUGACCACCUGCAGAAUAAGCGCCGGCCUAACUACGUGCCCGGCAGCAGCAUUAAUACGUAGGGUGCAAGCGUUAAUCAGGAAUUACUGGGCGUAAAGCGUGCGCAGGCGGUUCGGAAAGAAAGAUGUGAAAUCCCAGAGCUUAACUUUGGAACUGCAUUUUUAACUACGGCGAGCUAGAGUGUAUCAAGGAGGUGGAAUUCCGCGUGUAGCAGUGAAAUGCGUAGAAGAUAUGCGGAGGAACACCGAUAGCGAAGGCAGCCUCCUGGGAUAACACUGACGCUCAUGCACAGCAGUAGAGGGCAAGCAAGUUAGAUACCCUGGUAGUCCACGCCCUAAACGAUGUCAACUAGCUGUUGGGGCCUUCGGGCCUUGGUAGCGCAGCUAACGCGUGAAGUUGACCGCCUGGGAAAUACGGUCGCAAGAUUAAAACUCAAAGGAAUUGACGGGGACCCGCACAAGCGGUGGAUGAUGUGGAUUAAUUCGAUGCAACGCGAAAAACCUUGCCUACCCUUGACAUGUCUGGAAUCCCGAAGAGAUUUGGGAGUGCUCGCAAGAGAACCGGAACACAGGUGCUGCAUGGCUGGCUAUUCGUCAGCUCGUGUCGUGAGAUGUUGGGUUAAGUCCCGCAACAAGGCACCGCGCCGCCAAUCGGUAGUUGCUACGAAAGGGCACUCUAAUGAGACUGCCGGUGACAAACCGGAGGGGAAGGUGGGGAUGACGUCAAGUCCUCAUGGCCCUUAUGGGUAGGGCUUCACACGUCAUACAAUGGUCGGGACAGAGGGUCGCCAACCCGCGAGGGCCAAUCCCAGAAACCCGAUCGUAGUCCGGAUCGCAGUCUGCAACUCGACUGCGUGAAGUCGGAAUCGCUAGUAAUCGCGGAUCAGCAUGUCGCGGUGAAUACGUUCCCGGGUCUUGUACACACCGCCCGUCACACCAUGGGAGUGGGUUUUACCAGAAGUAGUUAGCCUAACCGUAAGGAGGGCGAUUACCACGGUGGGAUUCAUGACUGGGGUGAUCGUAACAAAGGUAA